GUCAAUUUUUAUGUUCUCCCCCAACCGACAGUGAGCUUCACGGUGACAUCUAUCCUAAUCUACACUGACUUUCACCCUACUUCGACCACAACCAGACUUUCAUAGUUAAUAGGGUGGUAAUUUUGCUGGUUUCGACAUUAUGUACAUGCAUGAGUUUAAUCACCCCUCCCUCCUCUUUUCCUUUUCAGUUAUGAGAUUAAAGUGAGGGAAUGACAAGAGAAGAUCAUGAACCAACGAAAAUUACAGAUGUGUUGAAAUUUGUUGUCAGAAUCUGUUUGAAUGAUGAACUUCAUGCAUACAAUUGUUGUGGUUGUCACAACUGGAAUCUAUUAAACAAAAUCAAAUACUUGAUAAUAACUACCUCUCCACACUGUUAUGUUUCUUGUUUUU